AUGAUUGAAUUUUUAAGUACACAGGUAGAUUGGGUAGCAAUCCAGUUCAUGAGCAAAGAAAGUAUAGAAUGGAAAAGACUGGAAAAAAUUAAAAACAGUAUAAGGAAAGUAUGAGUUGAUAAGUUAUACAUGGUGCGUCCGAGUGGACUCGAACCACCGACCCCCACCA
rnacentral:antisense_RNA from 1 species